rnacentral:sRNA from 1 species
GCCUGGUGUGGUGGCUCACACCUGUAAUCCCAGUGGCUCUGGAGGCUGAGGCAGGAGGAUCGCCAAUUCAAAGCCAGCCUCAG